GACGAACGCUGGCGGCGUGCUUAACACAUGCAAGUCGAGCGGUAAGGCCCUUUCGGGGGUACACGAGCGGCGAACGGGUGAGUAACACGUGGGUGACCUGCCCUCAGCUCUGGGAUAAGCCUGGGAAACUGGGUCUAAUACCGGAUAUGACUCCAUGACGCAUGUUGUGGGGUGGAAAGCCUUGUGCGGCUGAGGAUGGGCCCGCGGCCUAUCAGCUUGUUGGUGGGGUGANGGCCUACCAAGGCGACGACGGGUAGCCGGCCUGAGAGGGCGACCGGCCACACUGGGACUGAGACACGGCCCAGACUCCUACGGGAGGCAGCAGUGGGGAAUCUUGCGCAAUGGGCGAAAGCCUGACGCAGCGACGCCGCGUGAGGGAUGACGGCCUCGGC
rnacentral:rRNA from 1 species